UACGGGGGGGGGCAAGCGUUGUUCGGAAUUACUGGGCGUAAAGGGCUCGUAGGCGGCCAACUAAGUCAGACGUGAAAUCCCCAGGCUCAACCUGGGAACUGCGUCUGAUACUGGAUGGCUUGAAUUCGGGAGAGGGAUGCAGAAUUCCAGGUGUAGCGGUGAAAUGCGUAGAUAUCUGGAGGAAUACCGGUGGCGAAGGCGGCAUCCUGGACCGACAUUGACGCUGAUGAGCGAAAGCUAGGGGGAGCAAACGGGG
rnacentral:rRNA from 1 species